rfam:Theobroma cacao cultivar Matina 1-6 chromosome 2, whole genome shotgun sequence.
GAUUUAACGGGAUAUUGGUCCGGUUCAAUAAGAAAGCACAGUUCUCAAAUGAGAAUUGAGACUGCUUUUUGAUUGAGCCGUGCCAAUAUCACGUGCCACUGU